rnacentral:piRNA from 1 species
UGAUUGCCAUGACAACUGUAACCAAGU